rnacentral:rRNA from 1 species
UCCUGGUGAUUUAGCCCAGCGUGUCCUACCCGAUCCCAUUCCGAACUCGGAAGUAAAAGCGCAGGGCGCCGAUGAUAGUCCUUCGGGGCGAAAGUAGGCUUCGCCGGGGA